GAUGAACGCUAGCGGCAGGCUUAACACAUGCAAGUCGAGCGGUAGAGAGGUGCUUGCAUCUCUUGAGAGCGGCGGACGGGUGAGUAAUGCCUAGGAAUCUGCCUAGUGGUGGGGGAUAACGUUCGGAAACGGACGCUAAUACCGCAUACGUCCUACGGGAGAAAGCGGGGGGAUCUUCGGACCUCGCGCCAUUAGAUGAGCCUAGGUCGGAUUAGCUAGUUGGUGAGGUAAUGGCUCACCAAGGCGACGAUCCGUAACUGGUCUGAGAGGAUGAUCAGUCACACUGGAACUGAGACACGGUCCAGACUCCUACGGGAGGCAGCAGUGGGGAAUUUUGGACAAUGGACGCAAGUCUGAUCCAGCCAUUCCGCGUGCAGGAUGAAGGCCCUCGGGUUGUAAACUGCUUUGUACGGAACGAAAGGUUUGUCUUAAUACGAUGAGCUCAUGACGGUACCGUAAGAAUAAGCACCGGCUAACUACGU
rnacentral:rRNA from 1 species